rnacentral:rRNA from 1 species
AUUGAACGCUGGCGGCAGGCUUAACACAUGCAAGUCGAGCGGAGAUGAGGUGCUUGCACCUUAUCUUAGCGGCGGACGGGUGAGUAAUGCUUAGGAAUCUGCCUAUUAGUGGGGGACAACAUUCCGGAAGGAAUGCUAAUACCGCAUACGCCCUACGGGGGAAAGCAGGGGAUCUUCGGACCUUGCGCUAAUAGAUGAGCCUAAGUCGGAUUAGCUAGUUGGUGGGGUAAGGGCCUACCAAGGCGACGAUCUGUAGCGGGUCUGAGAGGAUGAUCCGCCACACUGGGACUGAGACACGGCCCAGACUCCUACGGGAGGCAGCAGUGGGGAAUAUUGGACAAUGGGCGGAAGCCUGAUCCAGCCAUGCCGCGUGUGUGAAGAAGGCCUUUUGGUUGUAAAGCACUUUAAGCGAGGAGGAGGCUACCUGGAUUAAUACUCUAGGAUAGUGGACGUUACUCGCGGAAUAAGCACCGGCUAACUCUGUGCCAGCAGCCGCGGUAAUAC